AAGUCGAGCGAACGGACGAGAAGCUUGCUUCUCUGAUGUUAGCGGCGGACGGGUGAGUAACACGUGGAUAACCUACCUAUAAGACUGGGAUAACUUCGGGAAACCCCAGCUAAUACCGGAUAAUAUUUUGAACCGCAUGGUUCAAAAGUGAAAGACGGUCUUGCUGUCACUUAUAGAUGGAUCCGCGCUGCAUUAGCUAGUUGGUAAGGUAACGGCUUACCAAGGCAACGAUGCAUAGCCGACCUGAGAGGGUGAUCGGCCACACUGGAACUGAGACACGGUCCAGACUCCUACGGGAGGCAGCAGUAGGGAAUCUUCCGCAAUGGGCGAAAGCCUGACGGAGCAACGCCGCGUGAGUGAUGAAGGUCUUCGGAUCGUAAAACUCUGUUAUUAGGGAAGAACAUAUGUGUAAGUAACUGUGCACAUCUUGACGGUACCUAAUCAGAAAGCCACGGCUAACUACGUGCCAGCAGCCGCGGUAAUACGUAGGUGGCAAGCGUUAUCCGGAAUUAUUGGGCGUAAAGCGCGCGUAGGCGGUUUUUUAAGUCUGAUGUGAAAGCCCACGGCUCAACCGUGGAGGGUCAUUGGAAACUGGAAAACUUGAGUGCAGAAGAGGAAAGUGGAAUUCCAUGUGUAGCGGUGAAAUGCGCAGAGAUAUGGAGGAACACCAGUGGCGAAGGCGACUUUCUGGUCUGUAACUGACGCUGAUGUGCGAAAGCGUGGGGA
rnacentral:rRNA from 1 species